CUGCUGCCUUCCGUAGGAGUCUGGUCCGUGUCUCAGUACCAGUGUGGGGGACCUUCCUCUCAGAACCCCUAGACAUCGUCGCCUUGGUGGGCCGUUACCCCGCCAACAAGCUAAUGUCACGCAUGCCCAUCCGUCUCCGGAGUUGCCUCCUUUGGCCGAAAGAAGAUGCCUCCCCUCGGCCACAUGCGGUAUUAGGCCGGAUUUCUCCGGGUUAUCCCGCUGAAACGGGCAGGUUGCAUACGCGUUACUCACCCGUGCGCCGGUCG
rnacentral:rRNA from 1 species